rnacentral:snRNA from 1 species
ACAUAUUCUCGGCUUUAUAGCUAAGAUCAUGUUUUAAAACUGUUCUUAUCAGAGUAACUCCUGAUAUGCCACUAGUUGGCAAACGAGUUAAAAUGAUCGCUGA